UACGUAGGGUGCGAGCGUUGUCCGGAAUUAUUGGGCGUAAAGAGCUCGUAGGCGGUGUGUCGCGUCGGCCGUGAAAACCUGGGGCUCAACUCUGGGCGUGCGGUCGAUACGGGCAUGACUGGAGUUCGGCAGGGGAGACUGGAAUUCCUGGUGUAGCGGUGAAAUGCGCAGAUAUCAGGAGGAACACCGGUGGCGAAGGCGGGUCUCUGGGCCGAUACUGACGCUGAGGAGCGAAAGCGUGGGGAGCGAACAGG
rnacentral:rRNA from 1 species